rnacentral:lncRNA from 1 species
UUAAAAAUAGUAUUUCUAAGUACUUUGUAUUAAAAUCAAGCUUUUACUUUGAAAUCCAAAAUACUCCUUCAUCAAUUGAUAGCAACAAUGUACAAUCCUGUACUCUCAAAAGACUGCUCAAAAUACAUAAUUUCCAUCCAAAACCUAAAAUAACAGACUUUAUUUCAACAAAUUUGAAUUUACAAAAUUUCUAUAAUCACCAACUUCUUUUGUGAAAAACACACAGAGCUCUCAAUAAACAACAAUCAUAAUCUUCUAAUAACUCCUGAUAUAAUUCAAUCACUCAAUACUCAUAUAACAUAAUCAAUAACUCAUAAAUCAAUCUCUGAUUUAUUUCACAGACUCACUUCUCAAUAUUCAAAAACUAUCUAUUAUUCUUCAACAACAAAGAAAACAAAG